rnacentral:rRNA from 1 species
GGCGUGGGUAACGCAUGCAAGUCGAACGGGGUUGGGGGUAACUCCAACCUAGUGGCGAACGGGUGAGUAGCGCGUGGGAAACCUGCCCUUGAGACGGGGAUAACACUUCCAACGAGGUGCUAAUACCGGAUAAGACCACGGGAUCGCAUGGUCCAGCGGUUAAAGGAUGGCCUCUGCUUGCAAGCUAUCGCUCGAGGAUGGUCCCGCGUCCCAUUAGCUUGAUGGUGAGGUAAAAGCUCACCAUGGCGACGAUGGGUAGCUGGUCUGAGAGGAUGGUCAGCCACACUGGGACUGAGAUACGGCCCAGACUCCUACGGGAGGCAGCAGUCGAGAGGCUUCGUCAAUGGGGGAAACCCUGAACGAGCGACGCCGCGUGGGCGAUGAAGGCCUUCGGGUUGUAAAGCCCUGUCGUGCGGGGAGAAGGGUUCAACGGCAAACAACCGGUGAACCUUGACGGUACCGCAAAAGGAAGCUCCGGCUAACUCCGUGCCAGCAGCCGCGGUAAUACGGGGGGAGCGAACGUUGUUCGGAAUUACUGGGCGUAAAGGGCG